CCUACGGGUGGCAGCAGUGGGGAAUAUUGCACAAUGGGGGAAACCCUGAUGCAGCGACGCCGCGUGCGUGAUGAAGUAUUUCGGUGUGUAAAGCUCUAUCAGCAGGGAAGUAAAUGGCGUUACCUGACUGAGUUUCCCCGUCUAACUACGUUCCAGCCGCCGCGGUAAUACGUAGGGGGCAGGCGUUAUCCGGAUUUACUGGGGGUAAAGGGAGCGUAGACGGCAGCGCAAGUCUGAAGUGAACUCCCAUGGCUGAACCAUGGCAGUGCAGUGGAAACUGUGCAGCUGGAGUGCAGGGGAGGUAAGCGGAAUUCGUAGUGUAGCGGUGAAAUGCGUAGAUAUUAGGAGGAACACCAGUGGCGAAGGCGGCUUACUGGACUGUAACUGACGUUGAGGCUCGAAAGCGUGGGGAGCAAACAGGAUUAGAUACCCGGGUAGUC
rnacentral:rRNA from 1 species